AUUGAACGCUGGCGGCAGGCCUAACACAUGCAAGUCGAGCGGAUGACGGGAGCUUGCUCCUUGAUUCAGCGGCGGACGGGUGAGUAAUGCCUAGGAAUCUGCCUGGUAGUGGGGGACAACGUUUCGAAAGGAACGCUAAUACCGCAUACGUCCUACGGGAGAAAGCAGGGGAUCUUCGGGCCUUGCGCUAUCAGAUGAGCCUAGGUCGGAUUAGCUAGUUGGUGGGGUAAUGGCUCACCAAGGCGACGAUCCGUAACUGGUCUGAGAGGAUGAUCAGUCACACUGGAACUGAGACACGGUCCAGACUCCUACGGGAGGCAGCAGUGGGGAAUAUUGGACAAUGGGCGAAAGCCUGAUCCAGCCAUGCCGCGUGUGUGAAGAAGGUCUUCGGAUUGUAAGGCACUUUAAGUUGGGAGGAAGGGCAGUAAGUUAAUACCUUGCUGUUUUGACGUUACCGACAGAAUAAGCACCGGCUAACUCUGUGCCAGCCGCCGCCGUAA
rnacentral:rRNA from 1 species